rnacentral:lncRNA from 1 species
GAAACAACAAAAAUGGAAACAACAAAAUAGAGUAUUUAAAAUGUGAAAAUGAUUAUAACACUAUUACAAAACAAAAAAAAAUGAAUAAUAAAAAAAAAGUUAAAUAAAUAUAAUAUAAAAAAGCAAAACAUGAUUACCAAUGAUGAAAAGAUUAAUCUGAUUAAUAAAGAGUUAUAUAUAAAAAUUUCUAGUGAUGAUGAACCAAUAAAUGAUAAUGAUAUAAUACUAUAUAGUUCAAAAAUAUCGUAUAAUUUGAUGGAAAAAAAUACUGAGUAUGUUGUUGUCACUUCAGAUAGUCAUGAAAUAGCCAAUGGUGAUUAUUAUAACGGUUUAAAAUAUGACAACAAGUGUGGAAAGUUCGAUGAUGACAUAGGUAAGAAUAUAGGAGAUGAGAAAAAAAAAAAGAAACUCAUAAUGUACACUCAUAUAUAUAACUACAAAAAAGCGAAUUUCGUCUUAAAAUGUAUUAGUCAAAAUUUUCGCCAAUUCAUUAAAGACAGACACAACUUUUUAUUUAGUCGUAAACAUUAUUUAUGCUCAAACGAUGAUAAUAUAUUGAUAGUAUUAAAUAAAAAAAAAAGUAGAAAGCAUAAAAAUGAGUAUACGAAUACUACUAUAAAAUAUAAUAACGAAUUAAAAAUGAUAGUUAAGAAUAUACAAAGAAAUGUAUGUGAAGAAUUUAAAUUAAAUUAUAAAAAUCGUUAUUAUAAUUUUGAAUCUGAAAAAGAAGGAGAAAAAAGUAAUGUACCUCAAGAAAAAAAAAAAAAAAAAAUUUUAUUAAUAUGUGAAUUGCGUGAUCAUAAUGGUAAUACUUUAGAUAUAAUAUAUUUAUUAAAUGAAAAAAAUUUAGACGGUUGUCAAAAUUUGAAUGAGGUUUUAUCUAUAAAUUCUAGAAAUGCAAAUUCUUAUAAGGAUGGCUAUGAUUAUUCAUUAAAAAAUAAGGACUCUAAUCGUAAUCGUAAUAAUAGUAUAAGCAGUUGUUAUGAUAGUAUUAAUAAUAGUUAUACUAGUAAUGUUAGUAGUAGAAGUAGAGAUAAUAACAAUACUAUGAACAGUAAUAGUAGAAGUAGUAUUAAUAUAAGUGGAGAAGAGAAAACGUUGUCAAAACACAUUCCUUUAACAAAUGAAAUGAAACGUCUGCAAUAUAAAACAGGAAAGGAAAAACAAAGAAUUUUAAAAAACGAGUUGUUUAAUACUUCAGAACAUAUUCACGGUAUCAUAAAUCAUACAAUAGAAAUGGAGUUAAGUGACAUAAAUAUAUAUAAUAACAGUUUGAUGAGUAAAGCAAAAAUGGAACAUUACCAUAACACCAGAAAGGGUAAUGGUACUAUGGGUGAUAGUGGUAGUGGCAGUGGCAGUGGCAGUGGCAGUGGCAGUGGCAGUGGCAGUGGCAGUGGCAGUGGUAGUGGUAGUGGUAGUGGUAGUGGUAGUGGUAGUGGUAGUGGUAGUGGUAGUGGUAGUAGUGGUAGUAGUGGUAGUAGUGGUAGUAGUGGUAGUAGUGGUAGUAGUGGUAGUAGUGGUAGUGAUAGUAGUGGUAGUGAUAGUAGUAGUAGUGGUAAUAAUUUUACACCCAAGACCCAAAGUGAUACUGAAGGUAAUUUUCAUUCUAUACCAAGUGAAGAGAAUGAAAAUUGUAUUAGUAAUGACAAUGUUAUAGAAGAUAGCAUAGUCGGUAAUACUCAUUUAACUGGUGAUAAUACAGAUGUAAUAGCAGUUGAAUUAAGAAUAAAUUUGGGACAUACAGUAAACUUGAUAUAUAAUGAUGGGCUGUUACAAACACAUGAUUUAUCAAGUGAAGCAGGGUAUGACCAAAGUUUAGUGGAUCCAGACUUUUUAUUUUUACAUGGUACUAAUGGGUUCAGAACAUUACAUAAUUUUUUUAUAAAUAAUGUCAAUGUUGUCAGUAGUAGACUCAUGCCUCAAAUUAACUUACCUAGUGAAAACAUAAACAAUAAUUUAGGAAAUGAAAGCACAGAAAGGGUUGUAAAUUAUUCUGUAAUAAAUGGUACAAAUAAUAUUUUAGAUUUAUAUCAAGGAAAUAACUUAACACUAUUUAAUUUUCCAACAGGAAAUGGUAUACUCAAUACAAAUAAUAAUGAAAUAUUUAUUUAUAUAAGUCGAACAUUAAUUAAUGAUAAUAUUAUAGAUGUUAGUGUACUGCAAGGGGGUGUUCGAAGAACACAAGAAGGGACUGGAAUUAUAAGUAAUGUAAAUAAUAACAAUACAUACCAAAAUGGUGUAACCACAACAACAACAACAACAAAAAAAAAAACAAAAAGUGACUACAAAAACUACGAAUUAUUAAAAAAAAGAUACAAAAGAUAUGUCAAAAAUAACAAAUUCAAAUAAUAUCAAAAAUGAGAAUACAGAAAAAAUAUUUGACGAGCAAACUGCUUUUUAUGAAAUACCUUUAACUGUGGAAAAUAUAUUUUCAAAGGGAAAAUAUGACAAAAUAAUUAAAUAUGUAUAUACACUCUCAAAAAGUGCAGAUCAGAUAUUAUUAGAAUAUAAUAAUGAUUCAGAUAAAAAAAAAGGAGGAAUAAAAAAAAAAAAAAAAAAAAAAAAUAUAUCA